AUGGCCUUGAGGAGCCACCCAAGCUGUCGGUCAUUCUGGCCCUUGCACAUCACCGUUGACCCAAGGAGACUAACACCACCAAGUCUAAAGGACGAUCCCCGAAGAUUUUGGACGCGCCAAGUUCCUUUUUCGGACCCGUCAAGUGUACAACGACCCGUGGGCGACUACGCGGAUUCGCCAAGUACCCCACCGGCAAGACCGAUGCCCGAACAAGCACACCGGCUCUGUGGAUUUUGGCAAGUCCCUCGACGACCGGCGCUUAGUACCACUACGUUUGCCAUGUACAGCUAUACCAAGACCGGACCAACAAGUACCCCGACAACUUGUGUACCUCUACCGUUGACCCCGUGGAUGUCAAGUUCCUCGCCGUGA
rnacentral:rRNA from 1 species